ensembl:lncRNA
CAAGAGCAACACUUUAACUCUGUUUUAUUAUCACCUUUUUGUUUAAGCUCAUGUAUCUUUUUCCUCAAAUUACUAGCCUUAUUUAGCAUAGCUUUCCUGUCACUCUGUAACAUAUCUAGCCUUUCAAUAUGUGCUUUAGCAGUUAAUUUCACAACAGUUAAUUUUUUUUCCUUUUGUCUUCUUGUGUAUCACAGUCACUCUCAUUAAUGUUCGUUUCAGCCGAUUGCGCAAUAGCCUCAGGCCUAUCCACGGUUUCACACGCAUCCAUUGUUUAGGUCAAUUCAGUAGUUCAGUAGUUCACAAAGUCAAUUGUCAUUUGCCUUUGACCACCAAUGCAUUGGAUUUCUGACUAGUGUGCACACAAACAUAAAAUGGCCAUUGAUAGUGUAGCGCUAGUCAUACCUCACGUUGGAGCCCUGCCAAACUCUGUGAACAACUCCACUGUCCGAAGAGAAGAGCAUCUCCUUUCCUGGGGCAGGACAUCCAGACGCCCCUGGUGGUCCACCCGGUGGCUUCCCUCGAGGGGGGGGGUCCCUGUCAGGAAUCGGCCCUCCUGAGCCUUUCGGGGCGUGUUUUUCCCUUUCCUUUUGUGUCUCUCACUGCCUCUGGUUCCUUAUGUGUGCAUUUUGUUCGUUUCUAUGUUUGUCUGUCAUUACAUCUCCCUUAUUCCCGGUACUCCCAGAAGGCACCACUGAUCCUGAGCACCUGCACCAGUCUACACACCUUGGGGGCUGAUUGCCACUCUCCCUAUAAAUGGGAGAGGUCUGCUUUUAGUCCCUGCUGGAUUAAUGCACAGCCACUUUGUUUCCAGACCCUUGUUCCGAGACCCGUCCUGCACCUUCCUCCCAACUACCUGGAUCACCAAUCAGCCUUCCCGUUAUCGACCUUCGCCUUGACUGACUCCCCGCACUGUUGACUGAACCCUGCCUGACCCUCUGACCAUUCUUGCCUCCCGGACUUCGUACCACUGCUACCCACUAUCCACCCUCCAACAAUACACUCAUACCCGUCUACGUAUUUCUUACGUAUCUCCAC